rnacentral:rRNA from 1 species
UCAAGCGAAUAAGCGCACACGGUGGAUGCCUUGGCGGUCAGAGGCGAUGAAGGACGUGGCAGCCUGCGAAAAGUAUCGGGGAGCUGGCAACAAGCUUUGAUCCGGUAAUGUCCGAAUGGGGAAACCCACCCGCUUGCGGGUAUCCUGCGGUGAAUACAUAGCUGCUGGAAGCGAACCUGGUGAACUGAAAUAUCUAAGUAACCAGAGGAAAAGAAAUCAACCGAGAUUCCGUAAGUAGCGACGAGCGAACGCGGACUAGCCCUUAAGCUGGAUUGGUUCUAGGAAAACGCUCUGGAAAGAGCGGCCAUAGAAGGUGAUAGCCCUGUAUCUGAAAGGGCCAUUCCAGUGAAGACGAGUAGGGCGGGGCACGUGAAACCCUGUCUGAACAUGGGGGGACCAUCCUCCAAGGCUAAAUACUACUGACCGACCGAUAGUGAACCAGUACCGUGAGGGAAAGGCGAAAAGAACCCCGGAGAGGGGAGUGAAAUAGAACCUGAAACCGUGUGCGUACAAGCAGUAGGAGCUCCGCAAGGAGUGACUGCGUACCUUUUGUAUAAUGGGUCAGCGACUUACUGUUCGUGGCAAGCUUAACCGUAUAGGGGAGGCGAAGGGAAACCGAGUCUGAUAAGGGCGCAUAGUCGCGGGCAGUAGACCCGAAACCGGGUGAUCUAGUCAUGCCCAGGGUGAAGGUGCGGUAACACGCACUGGAGGCCCGAACCCACUCCCGUUGCAAAGGUAGGGGAUGAGGUGUGAUUAGGAGUGAAAAGCUAAUCGAACCCGGAGAUAGCUGGUUCUCCUCGAAAGCUAUUUAGGUAGCGCCUCAUAUGUAUCCUCUCGGGGGUAGAGCACUGUUAUGGCUAGGGGGUCAUCGCGACUUACCAAACCAUUGCAAACUCCGAAUACCGAGACGGACUGUAUGGGAGACACACGGCGGGUGCUAACGUCCGUCGUGAAAAGGGAAACAACCCAGACCCACAGCUAAGGUCCCAAAUUCACUGCUAAGUGGAAAACCAUGUGGAAAGGCACAGACAGCCAGGAGGUUGGCUUAGAAGCAGCCACCCUUUAAAGAAAGCGUAAUAGCUCACUGGUCGAGUCGGUCUGCGGGGAAGAUUUAACGGGGCUAAGCAGUGAACCGAAGCUUGGGGUGCAUAACUUUGUUAUGCGCGGUAGAGGAGCGUUCCGUAAGCCGUUGAAGGUGGAUUGAGAAGUCUGCUGGAGGUAUCGGAAGUGCGAAUGCUGACAUGAGUAACGAUAAUGCGGGUGAAAAACCCGCACGCCGAAAGCCCAAGGUUUCCUUGCGCAACGUUAAUCGGCGCAGGGUGAGUCGGCCCCUAAGGCGAGGACGAAAGUCGUAGUCGAUGGGAAGCAGGUUAAUAUUCCUGCACCUCGCGUAAGUGCGAUGGAGGGACGGAGAAGGUUAGGUGUACCAGGCGUUGGUUGUCCUGGGGAAAGGCGGUAGGUUUGGAUCUUUGGCAAAUCCGGGAUCCUUUAAGACCGAGCACCGAGACGAGCCUUUAUGGCGAAGUCACUGAUACCACGCUUCCAGGAAAAGCUCCUAAGCUUCAGCUUACGCAGACCGUACCGUAAACCGACACAGGUGGGUAGGAUGAGAAUUCUCAGGCGCUUGAGAGAACUCGGGUGAAGGAACUAGGCAACAUGGCACCGUAACUUCGGGAGAAGGUGCACCCUUUUUGGUGGCUCGUGCGAGCUAUAGCUGAAGAGGGUCGCAGUAACCAGGCCGCUGCGACUGUUUAUCAAAAACACAGCACUCUGCAAACACGAAAGUGGACGUAUAGGGUGUGACGCCUGCCCGGUGCUGGAAGGUUAAUUGAUGGGGUCAGCCGCAAGGCGAAGCUCUUGAUCGAAGCCCCAGUAAACGGCGGCCGUAACUAUAACGGUCCUAAGGUAGCGAAAUUCCUUGUCGGGUAAGUUCCGACCUGCACGAAUGGCGUAACGACAGCGGCGCUGUCUCCACCCGAGACUCAGUGAAAUUGAAAUCGCUGUGAAGAUGCAGCGUUCCCGUGGCAAGACGGAAAGACCCCGUGAACCUUUACUAUAGCUUUACACUGAACGUUGAGUUCGUCUGUGUAGGAUAGGUGGGAGGCUAUGAAACUGUGGCGCUAGCUGCAGCGGAGCCAUCCUUGAAAUACCACCCUGUCGUGCUUGACGUUCUAACCUGGGCCCAUUAUCUGGGUCGGGGACCGUGUAUGGUGGGUAGUUUGACUGGGGCGGUCUCCUCCUAAAGAGUAACGGAGGAGCUCGAAGGUACGCUCAGCGCGGUCGGACAUCGCGCACUGUGUGCAAAGGCAUAAGCGUGCUUGACUGCAAGAUCGACGGAUCAAGCAGGUAGGAAACUAGGACUUAGUGAUCCGGUGGUUCUGUAUGGAAGGGCCAUCGCUCAACGGAUAAAAGGUACUCCGGGGAUAACAGGCUGAUACCGCCCAAGAGUUCAUAUCGACGGCGGUGUUUGGCACCUCGAUGUCGGCUCAUCACAUCCUGGGGCUGUAGUCGGUCCCAAGGGUAUGGCUGUUCGCCAUUUAAAGUGGUACGCGAGCUGGGUUCAGAACGUCGUGAGACAGUUCGGUCCCUAUCUGCCAUGGGCGUUGGAGAUUUGAGAGGGGCUGCUCCUAGUACGAGAGGACCGGAGUGGACGAACCUCUGGUGUUCCGGUUGUCACGCCAGUGGCAUUGCCGGGUAGCUAUGUUCGGAAGCGAUAACCGCUGAAAGCAUCUAAGCGGGAAGCGCGCCUCAAGAUGAGAUCUCCCGGGGCACAAGCCCCCUGAAGGAACCAUGUAGACUACGUGGUUGAUAGGUCAGGUGUGUAAGUACAGCAAUGUAUUGAGCUAACUGAUACUAAUGAUCCGUGCGGCUUGACCA